UACGGGGGGGGCAAGCGUUGUUCGGAAUUACUGGGCGUAAAGGGCUCGUAGGCGGCCAACUAAGUCGGAUGUGAAAUCCCCAAGCUUAACUUGGGAACUGCAUCCGAUACUGGAUAGCUAGAGUUCGGCAGAGGGAAGCGGAAUUUCGGGUGUAGCGGUGAAAUGCGUAGAUAUCCGAAGGAACAUCAGUGGCGAAAGCGGCUUCCUGGACCAGAACUGACGAUCAGGCACGAAAGCGUGGGGAGCAAACAGG
rnacentral:rRNA from 1 species